rnacentral:tRNA from 1 species
GGGUCAGUAGCUCAGUGGUUAGAGCGCGUGUCUUAUAAACACGAGGUUCGAUGGUUCGAUCCCAUCCUGACCCA